rnacentral:sRNA from 1 species
GCUAGGCGUGGUGGUAUACACCUGUAAUCCCAGCUACUCAGGAGGCUGAGGCAGUAGGAUCACAAGUUCAAAGACAGCUUGGGCAACUUAGGGAGACCCUGUCUCAU